UACCAGGCAAGUCGAACGGCAGCGCGGGGCAACCUGGCGGCGAGUGGCGAACGGGUGAGUAAUAUAUCGGAACGUACCCAGAAGUGGGGGAUAACGUAGCGAAAGUUACGCUAAUACCGCAUACGAUCUACGGAUGAAAGUGGGGGACCUUCGGGCCUCAUGCUUUUGGAGCGGCCGAUAUCUGAUUAGCUAGUUGGUGAGGUAAAGGCCUACCAAGGCGACGAUCAGUAGCUGGUCUGAGAGGACGACCAGCCACACUGGGACUGAGACACGGCCCAGACUCCUACGGGAGGCAGCAGUGGGGAAUUUUGGACAAUGGGCGCAAGCCUGAUCCAGCAAUGCCGCGUGAGUGAAGAAGGCCUUCGGGUUGUAAAGCUCUUUUGUCAGGGAAGAAACGGCUCUAGCUAAUAUCUGGGGCUAAUGACGGUACCUGAAGAAUAAGCACCGGCUAACUACGUGCCAGCAGCCGCGGUAAUACGUAGGGUGCAAGCGUUAAUCGGAAUUACUGGGCGUAAAGCGUGCGCAGGCGGUUUUGUAAGUCUGACGUGAAAUCCCCGGGCUCAACCUGGGAAUUGCGUUGGAGACUGCAAGGCUGGAGUCUGGCAGAGGGGGGUAGAAUUCCACGUGUAGCAGUGAAAUGCGUAGAGAUGUGGAGGAACACCGAUGGCGAAGGCAGCCCCCUGGGUCAAGACUGACGCUCAUGCACGAAAGCGUGGGGAGCAAACAGGAUUAGAUACCCUGGUAGUCCACGCCCUAAACGAUGUCUACUAGUUGUCGGGUUUUAAUUAACUUGGUAACGCAGCUAACGCGUGAAGUAGACCGCCUGGGGGAGUACGGUCGCAAGAUUAAAACUCAAAGGAAUUGACGGGGACCCGCACAAGCGGUGGAUGAUGUGGAUUAAUUCGAUGCAACGCGAAAAACCUUACCUACCCUUGACAUGAAAGGAAUCCCGGAGAGAUCUGGGAGUGCCCGAAAGGGAACCUUCACACAGGUGCUGCAUGCUGUCGUCAGCUCGUGUCGUGAGAUGUUGGGUUAAGUCCCGCAACGAGCGCAACCCUUGUCAUUAGUUGCUACGC
rnacentral:rRNA from 2 species